GAGCCCGUCUGGGCGCAUCAUCGACCGAUCCUGAUGUCUUCGGAUGGAUUUGAGUACGAGCAUGGCUGUUGGGACCCGAAAGAUGGUGAACUAUGCCUGAAUAGGGUGAAGCCAGAGGAAACUCUGGUGGAGGCUCGCAGCGGUUCUGACGUGCAAAUCGAUCGUCAAAUUUGGGCAUAGGUGAGUACCGCACCGCGCGUUCUGAUGUGUAAGAUGUUAAUUUUCAACAGGGGCGAAAGACUAAUCGAACCGUCUGGUAGCUGGUUCCUGCCGAAGUUUCGUAAGUUCACCCUUCCUAAUGUCAGAUUAGAGCCGGAGGCGAUCGUGACUGUCUCUUGUCCUCGGGGUUUCCUUCCCUAGCAUCCCUUUGUUUUUUCCCCUGAAAGUCCGGACUAACCAUUAUUAUAGGCCUCAGGAUAGCAGUACGGAUUCAGUUUUAUGAAGGUAAAGCGAAUGAUUAGAGGCCUUGGGGUUGAAACAACCUUAACCUAUUCUCAAACUUUAAAUAUGUAAGAAGUCCUUGUUGCUUCGUUGAACGUGGACAUUUGAAUGUAUCGUNACUAGUGGGCCAUUUUUGGUAAGCAGAACUGGCGAUGCGGGAUGAACCGAACGUGAGGUUAAGGUGCCGGAAUGCACGCUCAUCAGACACCACAAAAGGUGUCAAUGCAUCCAGACAGCCGGACGGUGGCCAUGGAAGUCGGAAUCCGCUUAGGAGUGUGUAACAACUCACCGGCCGAAUGCAUUGGCCCUGAAAAUGGAUGGCGCUUAAGCGUGCUA
rnacentral:rRNA from 1 species